AUACGGAGGAUCCGAGCGUUAUCCGGAUUUAUUGGGUUUAAAGGGAGCGUAGGUGGACAGUUAAGUCAGUUGUGAAAGUUUGCGGCUCAACCGUAAAAUUGCUGUUGAUACUGGUUGUCUUGAGUACAGUAGAGGUGGGCGGAAUUCGUGGUGUAGCGGUGAAAUGCAUAGAUAUGACGAAGAACACCGAUUGCGUAGGCAGCUGACCAGACCGCAAAUGACGCUCAUGCACGAAAGUGCGGGGAUCGAACAGGAUUAGAUACCCUGGUAGUCCGCACAGUAAACGAUGAAUACUUGUUUUCGGCGAUAUUAUGUCGGAGGCAAAGCGAAAGCGAUAAGUAUUCCACCUGGGGAGUACGCCGGCAACGGUGAAACUCAAAGGAAUUGACGGGG
rnacentral:rRNA from 1 species